GACGAACGCUGGCGGCGUGCUUAACACAUGCAAGUCGAACGGAAAGGCCCUGCUUUUGUGGGGUUCUCGAUUGGCGAACGGGGGAGUAACACGUGAGUAACCUGCCCUUGUCUUUGGGAUAACUUCAGGAAACUGGGGCGAAUACCGGAUAGGAGCUCCUGCUGCAUGGUGGGGGUUGGAAAGUUUCGGCGGUUGUGGAUGGACUCGCGGCUUAUCAGCUAGUUGGUGGGGUAGUGGCUGACCAAGGCUUUGACGGGUAGCCGGCAUGAGAGCGUGACCGGGCACAUUGGGACUGCGAUACGGACCAGAAUCCUACGGGAGGCAGCAGUCGAGAAUCUUGCAGAACGGGCGGAAGCCUGAUGCAGAAAUGCCGCGUGCGGGAUGACGGGCUUUGAGUUGUAAACCAAUUUGGAAUGUGCUGAAGACUGAGUGACGGUAAUGGGUAAAGAAGCACCGGCUAACUACGUG
rnacentral:rRNA from 1 species